AUGGUUGAACAAAUAAAUGAUUGUCUCUUUUUUAAAAUUUGAAUUUAACUUUUAAGUGAGAAGGCUUAAAUAAUUCAAGGGGACGAUAAGACCCUAUAAAUCUUUAUAUAAAUAUUUAUUUUUAAUUGAUAAUUAGUGUUUAAUAAUUUUAAAUAAAUAAUAUAUUGUAUUGGGGUGAUAAAAGUAUAAAUAGUGUAACUGCUUAUAUUUAAAUACUUAUAAUGUUUGUUUAUUUUUAAUGAUCCUUUUUAAGAUUUUAAGAUUAAGUUACUUUAGGGAUAACAGCGUUAUUUUUUUUAAGAGUUCUUAUCGAAAAAAAAGUUUGCGACCUCGAUGUUGAAUUAAAAUUUCUUUAUAAUGUAGCCGUUAUAGAAGAAGGUCUGUUCGACCUUUAAUAUUUUACGUGAUCUGA
rnacentral:rRNA from 1 species